rnacentral:lncRNA from 1 species
GGGAAGUACAGGCUACAGAGGAUCUCCUGGCCAUCCUGGUGAGGAAGGUGGGAUUGGAGACAGAGGUCCAGUUGGUUUCAAUGGGACUCGAGGAGAUAGGGGAUGUGCAGGUGACAGAGGCCGUAAGGGAUCUAGGGGUCAUCAGGGAAGUCAGGGUGAGCACGGUGAGAGUGGAUUUGAUGGCACUGAUGGAGAGCAGGUAAUCUUUGUUUGAAUCAUUAAUUAGCAAUUAGAGAAACUUAUUUC